rnacentral:rRNA from 1 species
UACGAAGGGGGCUAGCGUUGUUCGGAAUUACUGGGCGUAAAGCGCGCGCAGGCGGUCUUCCAAGUCAGUGGUGAAAGCCCGGAGCUCAACUCCGGAACUGCCAUUGAAACUGUUUAGCUUGAGGACGAGAGAGGUGAGUGGAAUUCCCAGUGUAGAGGUGAAAUUCGUAGAUAUUGGGAAGAACACCGGUGGCGAAGGCGGCUCACUGGCUCGUAUCUGACGCUCAGGCGCGACAGCGUGGGGAUCAAACAGG